CUGAGGAUUCUGCUCUGCUGCCCCCAGGAGCUCCAGCCUUCGAGGGCCUGGUAUCUCAGUGCACUCUGUGACCAGCAGCCACACCAGAAAGGGUUGCACACUGAGGACGACGUCGAGAAGAGGGCGUUGUGUUGACUUUGGUUUGUUAUGAAAAUUUAAAACCUGCAGAACAGCUGAAAGACCUCCGCAGUGAGCACCACACGCCCACCACCUUGUGCCACCGUGACGUUUUGUUGGGUGCUGUGUCACAGUCUCUCCAACUCUCCGUCCCUCUCUCCGUCCGUCCACCCCUCUUAUUUUCGGACGCCCUCCUCAGUGCGGUGCAGGCAUCCGUGCCCGUCUAGGCCAGCACUUCCGCAUCACGUCGUUAACAGAGUUCAAUGUUUGUCACAGCUGUUUGUCUCUCUUGAGGUGAGCUUUACACACGAUGACACACGCGAAUCUCAGGUGUACCAUGUGUGAGUUCUGAUAAUGCCCGCACCCAUCGAGGGACCGAGCAUGGUGAUGACUCCAGAAAGACCCCUCAUGCCGCUUCCCAGUGAAUCCCCACCCCACCCCACCCCACAGCGUUCUGAGAUUGCCUCCCACAGGUUGGUCUUGCCUG
rnacentral:lncRNA from 1 species